AAAUGUAAAAAAGGCAAUCGCUUUUAUUUUUAUAAAAGAGGAAAGUCCGAACUCCAAAGAACAGUAUGCUUCGUAACGCGAAGGCAAUGAAUUGUAAUGAUUUAUUGACUGAUAGUGCAACAGAAAAUAUACCGCCUAUUUUUAUAGGUAAGGGUGAAAAGGCAGUGUAAGAGACUACCGUACAGUUGGUAACAACUGUAGCAAGGUAAACCACAUAUUGGAGCAAAGUCAAAUAGUAAAAUAUAAUUCCUUUAGGAAUCUUAAGUUGUUCGCUUAGGUAAUUACAAAUAAAAGUAAUUUAUAUUUUUGGGUAGACUGCAAGAUAAUAAUGGCGACAUUAUUACGAGAUAAAUGAUUGCCUCUCAAUUUUUAUUGAAAGACAGAAUUCGGCUUAUUUUUUAUAUUUUAAU
rnacentral:RNase_P_RNA from 1 species